UUAAAAAUGUUCCCAGCCGAUAUCCCCAGCAGCUAGCAGUAACUAAAAAAAAACUGUGUAACGGGUAUUCGUCGCCACGCUGUAUAUUUUUGUAAGCAAAAAAUCUAAAGUAAAUUACCAAAACAUGUAAAGUAGUGUCCCCAUUUAUGUAGCCACCACUGAAUAUACAUACUAUUCUAAAUUUAGAUAGGUUCUACUCUACCUAAAGUUUUAAAUUUGCAGAUGUUUCCAAGAAAUUAAUGCAAUAAUGCCGGGUUUCUACUGGACGUUAAAUGAAAAUAUCGAACCCUAACCGCCGAAAAGAUGGAAGCGACAUUUUUUCAAAAUUUUCUUUUUGAUACAAAUAUGUUCUUAGAGCAUAUAUAUUCAUUUCUGCAUAAAUAAAAAUAGAAAUCUCGCUUACAACUUUUUGACGGUUAGAGAGCUCCAUAUAUUUAAUGGCAAAAUUGAGAACUAAAAAGUACCUGACCUAUUAUUUUUGUAAACAAAUCAUUAAUUUGUUUCCACAUGACAUUCUUUUAAUGGCAAAUUUUUUUUAUUAUUUUAUGUUCUGUGCAAAUUUGGCAUAUAGUAUUUUACCAUUAAAAAUGCGGGUCUCAGAGAAGGAAGCCUACAUCAGAUGAGGAAAAAACAUAACUCAAGAGAAAAUCGGUUUUUUUCGGUGCAUUAACUUUAGACGAUAGGACUUUAGUUUAAACGGUUGACGACCCGAUAAAAACCUCUUUAUGGCGGACGACGGAAUGGCGUACGUAAGAAGAACCACUGAAGGAUGCGUUCGAAGAAAAGUUAAUAAGGGAGGUGGCCGACUGUUUCGAGGAUGCCUUUCUCACUGUGUGCUUUGACGUCUGAGUCCCAGAAUUUCGGAAAGGAAAAUUUAACGUAGUUAUUUUCAGAAUCCGAUUGUGCAGUUUUAGAUGCUGCCACUCUUUUUUAAUU